rnacentral:rRNA from 1 species
GAGUUUGAUCAUGGCUCAGGACGAACGCUGGCGGCGUGCCUAACACAUGCAAGUCGAACGGACUGAUUUGAGAGCUUGCUCUUGAAGAAAGUUAGUGGCGGACGGGUGAGUAACGCGUGAGUAACCUGCCUUUCAGAGGGGGAUAACAUCCUGAAAAGGAUGCUAAUACCGCAUAACAUCUUAGUAUCGCAUGGUAUUGAGAUCAAAGGAGCAAUCCGCUGAGAGAUGGACUCGCGUCCGAUUAGCUAGUUGGCGGGGUAAAGGCCCACCAAGGCGACGAUCGGUAGCCGGACUGAGAGGUUGAACGGCCACAUUGGGACUGAGACACGGCCCAGACUCCUACGGGAGGCAGCAGUGGGGGAUAUUGCACAAUGGGGGAAAACCCUGAUGCAGCAACGCCGCGUGAAGGAUGAAGGUUUUCGGAUUGUAAACUUCUGUUCUUAGUGAC